GCCCCUUCGAGUCUUCUGCAGGCUGGCCCGCUUGCCAGCCCACAGCCCUCUGCCUUCUCAGAGGGCUCUUCCACCUUUGUGCGCCUGCCGUGUUCAUUCUCAUGUCCCGGUGCCGGAGAAAUCAGCUGAAGGGUUUGUCUUGCUUUACUUUCUCUUUAGCCUCAAGUCAGUGUCACUUGGGUAUAUUUUAGUCAUUGAGUCCCAAAUCGGUGCUGACUCCAGUGCCCCCUAGGUGUCAUCUCGAAGAGGUGGACUCUACUGUGGGGAGAGGUAGACUAGGAAAUGGAGCUUCCACAGCCUAUGUCUGUUCUCACUUCUCCCCAAGAAGCACACUCUUAGACCCCUCCUCACGUGAGAGUCCAUGGUGGUGGUUCCUGAAUUUGGGGCUGCAGACUUCUAGAGCCAAGGAGUUGGAGGUUUGGGCAUUGCUCUCUACUGACCCCUGAGUAGCCACUCCCUUGGUUGGGGUGAGGGGUUGCCCCUAGAUUGCUCUUAACACAGAAGAGGGCCUGCCCACCAAGCUGACAUCCAAGAGAAGUCUCGGUAGAGCUGGCAUUGGCCUCAUGUGGAGUGCAGGGGGUAUGGCUUGAAGGGCGGUUGCUGCACCCUAAAUCUUUUCCUGCCAGACAGCAAGUUCAUCCCUUCUCUAGCAGGGCGUAGCAGCAGGUUGCUCCUCACAUGGACAGCUGUGGAAGAUUUCUGGAAGAGUCAGCAUAUCCAAAGGCAUUUAGAAAUGACUGCAUUCUGUCUGCUUGUUUCCUUGCACUAGUUUCUUUUGAGAAGAGUUCCCAGCAUCAGUUUCCUCAUUGCAUCUCAGCUGUUUCAGACCCCACAGGAGGGUCCAGCAGUUUUUGUAAGGUUCUCCUCUCAGGGAGUUUUCCUGUGUUGUCCUUCCCAGGCCUUUGCCUCCCAGCUUUUCCAGACCCAAGAAGCCCACCGCAUGCCCACGGGAUGGUUCUUCAAGAGACUUGGGGCGUGGAUUUGAGGCUCUCCUAGAGUCAGAGGACUAGGAGUGUGUGAAUCGUGUCUGGCCAGGCACCUUUUCUUCUCCAAGUUACCUAAGGGGCUAUAGUGGAGGACAUGGGCUCCUUUUGUACAAUGAGUUUUUUGUGCACUGUGUCCUGGAUGCUAUGUGUAUGAGCUGUGAGCAUAACAGACAGGGUAGGGCCUCAUCAUAGCUGGAGACACAACAGAUGGACUCAUUAGAUCAUUUCCAACUGUGAUACACAAAACAGGGUAGAGGCCCAGGAGAUGCUGGAGCGUGGGGAGGAGAGGAGCUGCCUGUACCUUCUGGGCAGUGAAAUAGUCAUGAGCAUUCACCCUGGAGGUGGUCAGCAAAGGCCUCCAGGAGGUCUCAGUGGGUGGACCUGCAGGAAAAGCAUUCCAGGCUUUGGGAGUAGCACAAGGCAAAGGAACAUUGAUCCAGAAACAGUGCUGACAUGCUCAGAAAACAGGAAGAAGACAGAGAGGCUGGAGUAUGAUGGUAAGGAGGGUCAGUGCGGGACAGACCAAGGGUCCUGGUCCGCAGUCCUGGACCCUGAGAGAUGGGGCUAAAGCUCCAGAGGCCCCAGCUUCUGGUCUGGGGAGAGGCUCCUAGAACCAUUCAAAUUCAAAAGGAGAGCCAGAUGCCUGAGGUUUUGGGGUGUCAUUGGCAGAGGUAAGAAAUUCAGGUGUCUGCCCUGGCUGAUGUGGUUCAGUGGAUUGAGUGCCAGCCUGCAAACCAGAGGGUCACGGGUUCAAUUCCUAGUCAGGGCGCAUGUCUGGGUUGCGGGCCAGGUCCCCAGUAGAGGGCGCGUGAUGGGCAAUCACACAUUGAUGUAUUUCUCCCUCUCUUUCUCCUUCCCUUCCCCUCUCAAAUAAAUAAAGACAUUUUUUAAAAAGAAAGAAACUUGGGUGUCAUUAAAAGAGCCCCAAAAUAUAGGAAGCAAAAACUGGAGGACUGAAGGGAGAAGUAGACAAUGCAAUCAUAACAAUUGGAGACCUCAGUACCGUACUUUCAGUUACAGUAGAACACCCAGGCUGAUGGAUGAGGACAUCGAGGACUCGAACAGCACAGAACCAGCAGCAUGCACGUUCCCCUCACAGGCUCAAGGAACAUUCGCCAGGGUAGACUACUUGCUGGGCCACAAAACCAAUCUCAGUAAAUCUAAAAGAAUUGAAAUCAUGCAGUCUUCUCCAUCUACAGUGGAAUGAAAUUAGAAAUUCACAGCAGAAGGAGCCCUGGAAGAUUCACAGCAUGGAAAAUAACCUAGAUGCCCAGCAGGCAAAGGAAAGUUAAGUGUGCAGGCUUCUUGAGAUUGAGGUGCUAGAGGAAUACCCUCCACAACAUCCAAGGAAACUUGGGCCUGACAACUUUCAGGGCCACCAGCCAGGACGCGAGCCAUUGCCCGGUGCAUAACUCAGGAACACAGACCCUCAUGCUUCUCCCAGUCUCUCCCUGAGCAAAUCCCAGGCCAGCCCCGCCUGGAACUCCGAGUCUGGUGGGCACCCUGACACAGAUCGCUCGGUCGGAGUAAGAGGGAGCAGUGAAGCUGGAGGACCAAGGGGUCUGUCCCCAUGUGGGAAGUUCAGAGAGACCUGAGUGGGGAAAGGACACCAGUGGUUGAGGGGGCAGUGUCCGCAGAGGCCAGAGAGGUUGACAUUUCCAGGUCCCAAAAGUCAAUCCAGGAAGUGGCAGGUCCCACAGGACUUGCAGAGCCACAGGACUUGAGAAUAGGGGUGGAGAUGGGGUAGGCCAGGCCUGCUGUGAAGGAAUAGGAGCCUGCAUCUCAGUGAUGUCACCUGAGGAGGGGGAUGAUCUGAAGGAAUCCUGGUGAUAACACAGCUCUUCAUUAUCAUGUGUCACCCCGGACCCUGGCUUCUGCAAUAUCAGCUCUGUGGGGGUGCAUCUCUCAGGCUGCCACACUAAGUCCUAGGCUCAGGACCCUCCCCUUAACCCCCAUCCAAGGUUCCCCAAACCUGGCCCUUACCUCCUGGCUGUCCCUGGGACAUGACUCCACAUCCCAACUCUCCUGUUCACUCCUGUCUGAGCUCUCCAGCCCUGCCCAAGGGUGUAAUGUCCAGCAGAUGUGAGUUUGCUGGGAGAGUGCAGCCACCACCAGGUGUGAGCUGUGAACAGUUACACCAAGGUCAGGUGCUGGCUGAGCUGGCAUCGCCUGCUUAUCCCGUUCACUCCCUGCCAUUUUCCUGUUGGGAAGGUUCUGGCACCUUGUUUUCUAAGUGAAAUUGUUUGCCCAAGGUUUCCCAUUUAGGCAUUGGAAGAGCUGGGAAGAAAUGACUAGACCUACCGGCCUUUGAGAGGGGGGUUGAGCAGCCUCACGCCCCACUCUCAUGCUCCAUUUGGGCCCAGUGGUAUAUUUACAGCUGCCCCAAGGACUGUUGAGCCCGUGUUGUUACAACGGUUUCCGUUUCCCCAAGCACUUGGAUGCACGGUCUCUGAGCCUCCAAUCCCCUGAGACACACCUGAGGACAGUGUUAUCCUCUUCCUUUCACAGACACUUCCAGGAGCUCUCAGGGCACAAACUUGGAUCAAGAAGCCCAGGCUGGUUUUUCUGACCCAAAU